AUGAGUAGAGCUCUGUUUACUCUGCUCGUGGAAACUGCUCUGAUCAGGCACUGCCUGACUGCACUUCCUCUGUCUCCCAGACUCGAUUUCAUCACAGAUUUACUGAAGAAGGUUAAAAAUCCAAGCAGCAGACACCAGGAGUGGCAAGGAAUGAGGCUCAAAGACAAGAAAGGCAAUACACAGAAUUAUCCCUGGACUUCUGUAGGUUCUGCAGAUUUCCUGGAUUAUUGAUAUUAUUUUCUUUCUGAUCGGGUGUCGCACUAAACCCAGCUCUCUCUUCCCUGUGUCUUCAUCAAAUCACUUUAUUCUCCAUUCUCCCCAUUCUCCUUAAGCUCCAGUUUUAAUAAAUCCUCCCUCAUCAUCCGAUGGUGGGUAGCGCAUCUUCCAUGAACCUUUUCUCACUUUGACCUCCCUCCUACCCGAGAGGACUCCAGGGGAGUCAUUUCUUGGGCUGUGAUUUAUCAGGAAGCUCCAGAUAAGACAGAGCUGGGCCAAAACCCUGCCUGGACUGAAACCAAGACCCUGGCCAAGUUCCCCUCUGCUUUGGCAAAGGGCAAACGGACACGACAAGUUCUGGGAUUUCUGUCAUCAAACGCGUCCUUUAGCAGGAGGGAGGAGGGGAACCCCACUGCCUAAGUCACAAGUUGAGUUUCUUUAAUUUCGAGUUCCUCCACGCUGCUUUCAUCAGUCAAAGCCUCAUUAAUGAAGGCGCCCCUCUAAUUAAAGUGCCUCUGCGGGCUCUGUUUUGCUGUUCAAUGUCCCUAUUUAACAACGGCGGGUUAAAGGCUGUUACAGGAGAUUCUCACCUGUUUUAUUGCUGCCCCGCCCGAGAGCCCGGGGCCAAGGAACAGGCAGAAGUCUCUCCCUGGAUGGAGAAAAAGCUGAACUGCAGCGGAAUCCGGUGAUUCAUCCAGCCGGGAACCAGAGCUGCUCGGAACAUGAGCUCCUGCCAUUCUUCCCUGCUCGGAAAUCCCUUGGCACCGGUGCCAGCUCUGCCCAGGGACCCGUCGGGCACCCGAACAUCAUCUGCAUUCAUUCCAGGUGUUUAACACACCCCAACCUUGCUCAGAUUCCUCUGCUGGCAGUCCUGCCAGCCACAGUCCUGCUGACACUGUAGUGCUAAUAUUAGUGAUGAUAAUUAUGAUAAUAAUAAUAAUAUUUCCCCUCUGAAGUGUUUCAGAGAGAGCAUUUCGAUUGUGUUCAGGAGACACUCGAAAUACCCCUCUGCUUCUGUU
rnacentral:lncRNA from 1 species